UACAGAGGGUGCGAGCGUUAAUCGGAAUUACUGGGCGUAAAGCGCACGUAGGCGGCUUGGUAUGUCGGGUGUGAAAUCCCCGGGCUCAACCUGGGAACUGCAUCCGAAACUGCCUUGCUAGAGUAUGGGAGAGGGAAGUGGAAUUUCCGGUGUAGCGGUGAAAUGCGUAGAUAUCUGGAGGAACACCGGUGGCGAAGGCGGCAUCCUGGACCAACACUGACGCUGAGGAGCGAAAGCCAGGGGAGCAAACGGG
rnacentral:rRNA from 1 species